UGAUUGGAGCGCGUGCAGCAGUGAGCGCGCCCCGUCAUCAGACAGACCACACUUCUGCAGAUCCACAGCUGCAGAGACACAAGCACCUAUGAGGUCUUCAGCCAGCUCACGAGCGAGGGCAGCCGCUCCCUGGUCCCCGAUCAGGAUGUUUCCGUUAAGUGUGAUGCGCCUGAGCCCGCUCAUGCCCUCAAACUCGGCCUUCCUGUAGCGCAGCGACUCUGCCCACGCCGUGCUGUGUCUACGCACUGCCUGGUGCUGCACAGAAAACCCACUAGUCACCGCAAAGGACCCUGCUCAACAGACUCAUCAUACAACGCAUGAUUAUGCCUAGCUCACCAAGGUGGUGGUGCAUGGUCAGUACUGUCAGUAUUGUCAGUACAGUACUGACUGACUAAAAAAAGUUUCUUUUCAUGAAAUAAAUUAUAUUAAUUGCUAAACAUA